GAUGAACGCUGGCGGCGUGCCUAAUACAUGCAAGUCGAGCGAACAGAUGAGGAGCUUGCUCCUCUGACGUUAGCGGCGGACGGGUGAGUAACACGUGGAUAACCUACCUAUAAGACUGGGAUAACUUCGGGAAACCGGAGCUAAUACCGGAUAAUAUAUUGAACCGCAUGGUUCAAUAGUGAAAGACGGUUUUGCUGUCACUUAUAGAUGGAUCCGCGCCGCAUUAGCUAGUUGGUAAGGUAACGGCUUACCAAGGCAACGAUGCGUAGCCGACCUGAGAGGGUGAUCGGCCACACUGGAACUGAGACACGGCCCAGACUCCUACGGGAGGCAGCAGUAGGGAAUCUUCCGCAAUGGGCGGAAGCCUGACGGAGCAACGCCGCGUGAGUGAUGAAGGUCUUCGGAUCGUAAAACUCUGUUAUUAGGGAAGAACAAAUGUGUAAGUAACUAUGCACGUCUUGACGGUACCUAAUCAGAAAGCCACGGCUAACUACGUG
rnacentral:rRNA from 1 species